CAAUAAUUUUUAAGUACAAUUUUUUGUAUACAGAAUUUUAAUAAAUAGUUUUAAAAACAUGUAUAAUGUGUUUUCAAAGAUAUAUGAUAAACUCCAUUAUAAAUGGACUAUAAAUAUGCGUUUUGAACUAAAUAUGUAAACAAGAAAUAUAUGUGAACAUUUAAUAUAGUUACCAGCACUAAACGAUACCAAAUGAAAAGGAUUUUAUUUAAAUAAUACAAAAUAUGAAUGAACAAAAAAUGGAAUACCUUAAUAUGAAUUAUCCUCAUGUCAGAAAUAAUUUAGAAAUUAUCGAAGGUCAAGAUAAUAACCAUACAAUAAUAAGAUGUAUAGCGGAAGAUCCAUUCAUUAGUAUAUUACAAAACUAAUUAAUAUGUAAAUUUAUCUAGUUAUAAUAAUAAAAUGUUAUUUUCUAUA